UACGUAGGUGGCGAGCGUUAUCCGGAAUUAUUGGGCGUAAAGAGCGCGCAGGUGGUUGAUUAAGUCUGAUGUGAAAGCCCACGGCUUAACCGUGGAGGGUCAUUGGAAACUGGUCGACUUGAGUGCAGAAGAGGAAAGUGGAAUUCCAUGUGUAGCGGUGAAAUGCGUAGAGAUAUGGAGGAACACCAGUGGCGAAGGCGGCUUCCUGGUCUGUAACUGACACUGAGGCGCGAAAGCGUGGGGAGCAAACAGGAUUAGAUACCCCGGUA
rnacentral:rRNA from 1 species